rnacentral:tRNA from 1 species
GCUCCUGUAGUUCAACCUGGAUAGAAUAGGGCCCUCCGGAGGCUCUGAUCGGGGUUCAAAUCCCCGCAGGGGCG